GUGUUUUAUGCAAGGAGAGAAAAACAGCACUCCCCUCGACAAAGAAGGGCCUAACAACAGGGCCUGUGGUUAAGGCAGUGCCAUGUGAUGACUGUUUUUU
rnacentral:ncRNA from 1 species